rnacentral:rRNA from 1 species
AACGAACGCUGGCGGCAUGCCUAACACAUGCAAGUCGAACGAGACCUUCGGGCUUGCUGGCGCCUGGGUGCGUAACGCGUGGGAACAUGCCCUUAGGUUCGGCACAACUCUUCGAAAUGGGUGCUAAUACCGGAUAAUGUUUUCGGACAAGAGAUUUAUCGCCUUUGGAUGGGGCCGCGUUGUUUCAGCUAGUUGGUAGGGUAAAAGCUUACCAAGGCGUCGAUCCAUAGCUGGUUGGAGAGGAUGAUCAGUGACACUGGGACUGGGACACGGCCCAGACUCCUACGGGAGGCAGCGGUGGGGGAUAUUGGACAGUGGGCGAGAGGCUGAUCCAGCACGGCCGCGAGAGUGAUGAAGGCCUUAGAGUUGUAAAGCUCUUUUAACCGGGAUGAUAAUGACAGUACCGAGAGAAUAAGCUCCGGCUAACUCCGUG